rnacentral:sRNA from 1 species
GCUGCCGGAGAAUUUGUUAAAAAUUACAUCGCGCAUGGUGAAUCCCCCUCAGCGGCGGGGCAUCUGGCAAAGUGUAUGAUCCAGAGAACAUGCAAAUUCAGUAGACAGGCUGAAUUUACCGGGAGGCCCCUGGCACCAUGCGACAGACAGAAAUUAGGCUAUACUUCAGCCCCUCUCCGGAGGGGCUUUUCUGUGC